AGUGAACGCUGGCGGUAGGCCUAACACAUGCAAGUCGAACGGCAGCACAGUAAGAGCUUGCUCUUACGGGUGGCGAGUGGCGGACGGGUGAGGAAUACAUCGGAAUCUACUUUUUCGUGGGGGAUAACGUAGGGAAACUUACGCUAAUACCGCAUACGACCUACGGGUGAAAGCAGCGGAUCUUCGGGCCUUGCGCGAUUGAAUGAGCCGAUGUCGGAUUAGCUAGUUGGCGGGGUAAAGGCCCACCAAGGCGACGAUCCGUAGCUGGUCUGAGAGGAUGAUCAGCCACACUGGAACUGAGACACGGUCCAGACUCCUACGGGAGGCAGCAGUGGGGAAUAUUGGACAAUGGGGGCAAGCCUGAUCCAGCCAUACCGCGUGGGUGAAGAAGGCCUUCGGGUUGUAAAGCCCUUUUGUUGGGAAAGAAAAGCAGCAGGUUAAUACCCCGCUGUUCUGACGGUACCCAAAGAAUAAGCACCGGCUAACUUCGUG
rnacentral:rRNA from 1 species